UACGAAGGGGGCUAGCGUUGCUCGGAAUUACUGGGCGUAAAGGGCGCGUAGGCGGAUAUCUAAGUUGGGGGUGAAAUCCCGGGGCUCAACCUCGGAAUUGCCUUCAAAACUGGAUAUCUUGAGUUCGGGAGAGGUGAGUGGAACUCCGAGUGUAGAGGUGAAAUUCGUAGAUAUUCGGAAGAACACCAGUGGCGAAGGCGACUCACUGGCCCGAUACUGACGCUGAGGCGCGAAAGCCAGGGGAGCAAACGGG
rnacentral:rRNA from 1 species